UACGUAGGGACCGAGCGUUGUCCGGAAUCAUUGGGCGUAAAGAGCGUGUAGGCGGCCCGAUAAGUCCGCCGUGAAAGUCCAGGGCUCAACCCUGGAAUGCCGGUGGAAACUGUCGGGCUGGAGUCCGGAAGAGGCGAGUGGAAUUCCUGGUGUAGCGGUGAAAUGCGCAGAUAUCAGGAGGAACACCAAUGGCGAAGGCAGCUCGCUGGGACGGUACUGACGCUGAGACGCGAAAGCGUGGGGAGCAAACAGG
rnacentral:rRNA from 1 species